AUCUAUAUCAGGUAUGGAAAAGAACAUAAACUCAGUAGGAAAUGUUAUAUUACACAUUUCCAUGUGUCAUGCAUGAGAUUCAAAAAUCUACUGGAACUUUCUUCAACACUAACAGGUGAAAGAAACUGAAUGUAUCUAAUAGGUUCAAAUACUACUCACGGAUCUGAAGCUAGUAUAAAUACGACAGCCUGCACAUCAAUUGAAAUGCUGAGAAAGGUACUCGUGU
rnacentral:misc_RNA from 1 species